rnacentral:rRNA from 2 species
GAACGCUGGCGGCGUGCCUAAUACAUGCAAGUCGAGCGGACUUGAUGGAGUGCUUGCACUCCUGAGAGUUAGCGGCGGACGGGUGAGUAACACGUAGGCAACCUGCCCUCAAGACUGGGAUAACUACCGGAAACGGUAGCUAAUACCGGAUAAUUUAUUUCGCAGCAUUGUGGAAUAAUGAAAGACGGAGCAAUCUGUCACUUGGGGAUGGGCCUGCGGCGCAUUAGCUAGUUGGUGGGGUAAUGGCUCACCAAGGCGACGAUGCGUAGCCGACCUGAGAGGGUGAACGGCCACACUGGGACUGAGACACGGCCCAGACUCCUACGGGAGGCAGCAGUAGGGAAUCUUCCGCAAUGGGCGAAAGCCUGACGGAGCAACGCCGCGUGAGUGAUGAAGGUUUUCGGAUCGUAAAGCUCUGUUGCCAAGGAAGAACGUCUUCUAGAGUAACUGCU